rnacentral:rRNA from 1 species
AUUGAACGCUGGCGGCAGGCCUAACACAUGCAAGUCGAGCGAGCGGCGGACGGGUGAGUAAUGCCUGGGAAUUGCCCAGUCGAGGGGGAUAACAGUUGGAAACGACUGCUAAUACCGCAUACGAUUGGAUUGCUCAGGUUUGAUUAGCUAGUCGGUGAGGUAAUGUCUCACCAAGGCGACGCUGCCUAGCUGGUCUGAGAGGAUGAUCGGCCACACUGGAACUGAGACACGGUCCAGACUCCUACGGGAGGCAGCAGUGGGGAAUAUUGCACAAUGGGGGAAAGCCUGAUGCAGCCAUGCCGCGUGAGUGAUGAAGGCCUUCGGGUUGUAAAGCACUGUCAGCGAGGAGGCGUUACUCGCAGAAGAAGCACCGGCUAACUCCGUGCCAGCAGCCGCGGUAAUAC